CUUCAUAAGGGUUUUUACUUCCUUCAAAAUCUGUUCUUAUCAGUGUAAUAUCUGAUAUAUGGUCUCUCUGAGUACAGUAUAUCAAAUAGAUUUCUGGAGCUGGGAGAUGGAAUAGGAGCUUGCUCUGUCUACUCUAUACAUUGACCUGGUAUUGAAGCAUCUCCAGGAAGGAUGAAGCCCCU
ensembl:snRNA U2 U2 spliceosomal RNA